AUUGAACGCUGGCGGCAGGCCUAACACAUGCAAGUCGAGCGAGCGGCGGACGGGUGAGUAAUGUCUGGGAAACUGCCGGAUGGAGGGGGAUAACUACUGGAAACGGUAGCUAAUACCGCAUACCAUCAGAUGUGCCCAGAUGGGAUUAGCUAGUAGGGGGGGUAAUGGCUCACCUAGGCGACGAUCCCUAGCUGGUCUGAGAGGAUGACCAGCCACACUGGAACUGAGAAUCGGUGCAGACUCCUAUGGGAGGCAGUAGGGGGGAAGAUUGCACAAUGGGCGAAAGCCUGAUGAAUCCAUGCCGCGUGUGUGAAGAAGGACUUCGGGUUGUAAAGCACUUUCAGCGGGGAGGCGUUACCCGCAGAAGAAGCACCGGCUAACGCCGUGCCAGCAGCCGCGGUAAUUC
rnacentral:rRNA from 1 species